UUGAACUGAAGAGUUUGAUCAUGGCUCAGAUUGAACGCUGGCGGCAGGCCUAACACAUGCAAGUCGAGCGGUAACAGGGGGUGCUUGCACCCUGCUGACGAGCGGCGGACGGGUGAGUAAAGCAUGGGAAUCUGCCCGGUAGAGGGGGAUAGCCCGGGGAAACCCGGAUUAAUACCGCA
rnacentral:rRNA from 1 species